rnacentral:rRNA from 1 species
GAUCCUGGCUCAGAUUGAACGCUGGCGGAAUGCUUUACACAUGCAAGUCGAACGGUAGAGGGGGCAACCCCUUGAGAGUGGCGAACGGGUGAGUAAUAUAUCGGAACGUGCCCAGUCGUGGGGGAUAACGUAGCGAAAGCUACGCUAAUACCGCAUACGAUCUACGGAUGAAAGCGGGGGAUCGCAAGACCUCGCGCGAUUGGAGCGGCCGAUAUCAGAUUAGGUAGUUGGUGAGGUAAAGGCUCACCAAGCCGACGAUCUGUAGCUGGUCUGAGAGGACGACCAGCCACACUGGGACUGAGACACGGCCCAGACUCCUACGGGAGGCAGCAGUGGGGAAUUUUGGACAAUGGGCGCAAGCCCGAUCCAGCAAUGCCGCGUGCAGGAUGAAGGCCUUCGGGUUGUAAACUGCUUCUGUACGGAACGAAACGGUGAGCUCUAAUACAGUUUGCUAAUGACGGUACCGUAAGAAUAAGCACCGGCUAACUACGUG